rnacentral:rRNA from 1 species
CUGCAUCCAAAACUAUUUAGCUAGAGUGUGGGAGCGGAAGAUGGAGUUAGUUGUGUAGGGGUAAGAUCCGUAGAGAUAACUAGGAAUACCAAAAGCGAAGGCAAUCUUAUGGAACAUUCCUGGCGCUGAGGCGGGACAGAGUGGGGAGCAAACAGGAUGAGAUAGGAGCGGUAGUCCUCGCCCUAACCGAUGAAUGUUAGUCGUCGGGUAGCUAGUGUAUUCGGUGAUGCAGCUAACGCAUUAAACAUUCCGACUGUGGAGUACGGUCGCGAGAUUACAACUCAAAGGAAUAGACGGGGACCCGCGCAAGUGGUGGAGCAUGUGGUUUAAUUUGAAGAUUCGCGAAGAACCUUACCUAGCCUUGACAUAUUUAAGACAUCCGUAGAGAUACAGAGGUGCCUUCGGGAGCUUUCUUACAGGUGCUGCACAACAGUCGUCAGCUGGUGUCGUGAGAUGUUGGGUUAAGUCCCGCAACGAGCGCAACCCUCGUCACUAGUUACUAACGGUUCGGCCGAGGACUUUAGUGAGACUGCCUUCGUAAGGAGGAGGAAGGUGAGGAGGAGGUCAAGUCAUCAAGGCCCUUACGGCUAGGGCAACACACGUCAUACAAUGGCCAGGACACUGAGACGCGAGACCGAGAGGUGGAGCAAAUCUAUAAACUAGGUCUCAGUUCGGAUUGUAGUCUGCAACUCGAAUACAUGAAGCUGGAAUCAGUAGUAAUCGUAGAUCAAGAAUGGUACGGUGAAUACGUUCCCGGGUCUUGUACUCUACGCCCGUCACACCAUGGGAGUUGAUUUCACCCGAAGCGGGGAAGGUAAACUGGCUACCCUCCACGGUGCGAUUAACGCCCGGGUGAAGUCGUAACAAGCAACC